AAUGAACGUUGGCGGCGUGGAUUAGGCAUGCAAGUCGAGCGGGUGUAGUAAUACAUCAGCGGCGAAAGGGAGAGUAACGCGUAGUUACGUGCCCCGAGGUCCAGAAUAGCUACGGGAAACUGUAGGUAAUGCUGGAUAAUAUCUCCGGAUCAAAGGUGUGAUUCCGCCUCGGGAGCGGACUGCGUCCUACUAGCUAGUUGGCGGGGUAAUGGCCCACCAAGGCGACGAUGGGUAGCGGGUGUGAGAGCAUGACCCGUCUCACUGGGACUGAGACACUGCCCAGACACCUACGGGUGGCUGCAGUCGAGAAUCUUCGGCAAUGAGCGCAAGCUUGACCGAGCGACGCCGCGUGCGGGAUGAAGGCCUUCGGGUUGUAAACCGCUUUCGGUUGGGAGGAAAUCGCUAGGGGUUCUCCCCUAGUGUUGACCUAUCUUCGGAAGAAGGACGGGCUAAGUUCGUGCCAGCAGCCGCCGUAACAC
rnacentral:rRNA from 1 species